UACGUAGGGUGCAAGCGUUAAUCGGAAUUACUGGGCGUAAAGCGUGCGCAGGCGGCUCUAUAAGACAGAUGUGAAAUCCCCGGGCUCAACCUGGGAACUGCAUUUGUGACUGUAGAGCUGGAGUACGGUAGCGGGGGAUGGAAUUCCGCGUGUAGCAGUGAAAUGCGUAGAUAUGCGGAGGAACACCGAUGGCGAAGGCAAUCCCCUGGACCUGUACUGACGCUCAUGCACGAAAGCGUGGGGAGCAAACAGG
rnacentral:rRNA from 1 species